rnacentral:rRNA from 1 species
AGUGAACGCUGGCGGUAGGCCUAACACAUGCAAGUCGAACGGCAGCACAGGAGAGCUUGCUCUCUGGGUGGCGAGUGGCGGACGGGUGAGGAAUACAUCGGAAUCUACUCUGUCGUGGGGGAUAACGUAGGGAAACUUACGCUAAUACCGCAUACGACCUACGGGUGAAAGCAGGGGACCUUCGGGCCUUGCGCGAUUGAAUGAGCCGAUGUCGGAUUAGCUAGUUGGCGGGGUAAAGGCCCACCAAGGCGACGAUCCGUAGCUGGUCUGAGAGGAUGAUCAGCCACACUGGAACUGAGACACGGUCCAGACUCCUACGGGAGGCAGCAGUGGGGAAUAUUGGACAAUGGGCGCAAGCCUGAUCCAGCCAUACCGCGUGGGUGAAGAAGGCCUUCGGGUUGUAAAGCCCUUUUGUUGGGAAAGAAAUCCAUCUGGUUAAUACCCGGGUGGGAUGACGGUACCCAAAGAAUAAGCACCGGCUAACUUCGUGCCAGCCGCCGCCGUAA